AAAAAAAAUGGGCGGAACGCCCAUCUUCUUACUGGUGGUCGCACCUGAGCCGCACAUUGAAUCCGUACGCCCAGCGACUCCGCGAUUAUAGCGAUUU
rnacentral:sRNA from 10 species